UUUCAGGACUUGUCCUGACUUUCGAGAGGUUGUCAAAAUCUAUUUUGGCUUUGGAAAAACAAUUAUAAGGCCAUAUACUCUGGGGAAAUGCCAUUACCAGAACAAUUUGUUUUCUCUAACUCAAUUUUGCUCUUCUUAUAGCCAAAAGGCUUUCUCCAGAUCUACCAAAACUCGAAAAUAACGGUUGUUGCAAAUCACAGUGUAAACAAAAAAACAAAAAUAAUUCGUGAUUCAAAUUUGAUUCCUGUUGUUCUUAAAUACUCUGCAGUGAGAACAGCUACCGAAAGCUAAUUUCCUCGUAACUUUUAGAAAAAAAAGUUUGAUAUUUUCUGUCCACCGCCGGAUCCGUUGUUCAAACAUUCCAAGAGUAAUUAGCAUUCCGGCAAACUGCUUCAGAAAGUUCGAGCACGAAGUUGUCUUCCUCCUGAAAAAUCGGAACCAUAAAAUCUUCAGAAAUGGUUAUCAACUUUUCGGAAUUAACAGAUGUUUCGGAAUACGGCUUGUUCGCUGAAAGUGAUCGGAAUAAAACCGGCGAGUAUAGCUGUGUGCUGCUGAAUUCUUCUCUAUUCAUUAGGAACAAAUACCGCCACCGGAUCAUCUCAGAAUCAUGGAAGUGUUUAUGCAUAAAAUCUUUGAAAUGGACAGCGGAAGAUGGAUUACGAUACUGCUAAUUAAUGGAUACCUACAUUCGAGUUGGAUGAAAAAAGUACUACUUCCGGGAACAGAAACAGCUACGAUUUUUUACAUGUUCCGAAUUGAAAGGGCAGCUUAACUCCAUUUUAAAUUAAUAAUUCAAUAGUGAAAGUGAAUUCAACAUUGUGAUAAAAUUUUAUUUGAUAAUUAAGAAUACAGAAUUUAAAAACAUUUAUUUUUUAUCUUUGCUACUUAAAGAUCUGUUUGAUAGGUAUCUUACGAACACAUUCGAAGCUUCUUUGGGGGGUCCAAUUCCGAUAGCAAAUAAAAGUUUACAGUCGAUUCUUG